rnacentral:tRNA from 1 species
CAUGCGCUAGCGCGGGCGGGCGCCGGGCCGGCUAGCGGCCGGCGGCCGGCGCCUUGAUCGCGUCCAGGCGCUGGGCCA